CUCACUUCACAGACCCCAGUUUGGCCCAGCUAUACUCCUGCCUCCCCCCCCCCCUGGACCGGUGGGGGAUAUCCUGGUCCCCACUGGACACACUGGAGUUAACUACCUUAUCUACUCUGUACUUCACAUGGAAAUAAGCAACACAUAGCCCGCACUGGGUAAUCAAGAUGGCGACUGCCCUAUUGUCCGACCAACAGGGCAUACAAG